GUAGGUGAACCUGCGGAAGGAUCAUUAACACUAAUGAUUAACCAAUCAAACCCCAAAUUUUUGUAAUCGUCUUUUUGUUGGUAAAAAUUUACUUUUUUACUAGCAAACAUUUUUUUACAAACCCCUGACUAACAAUACUAUAAACCUAAGUUGACUAAAAAUAUAGAUAUCGUAGGUUGUUACUUACGGUAUAUCAUAUAUUUUCAUUUUUGAAAUGUAUAUAUAUCUAAAGCACAACUCUUAGCAAUGGAUAUCUUGGUUCUC
rnacentral:misc_RNA from 1 species